AUGCGCCGCUUCUCGGCCGCCGGCGCGCGCCAGCAGCAGGGGGAGGCCGUCUCCGACCGCCUGCACCGCUACCGCGGGGUGCUGAUGGUGGUGCUCUCGCCGGUGCUCCUCGUCUCCUUCGUGCUCCUCCUCAUGCCGCGCUCCCCGGCCUCCGUCACCGGCGGGGCCUCCGGCGUGCUCGUCGCCACUGGAGGCAGGAGGUGGGGACCCCAGGCCGUCGGCGGAGUUGGUGACGGAUCGAACAGGUACGCGGUGAUAUUUGACGCCGGAAGCUCCGGGAGCCGCGUGCACGUGUACUGCUUCGACGAGAGCCUGGAUCUUGUUCCUAUAGGGAAUGCGAUCGAGCUGUUCAAGCAGAAAAAACCAGGCUUGAGUUCUUAUGCCAAGGAUCCUCAGGAGGCUGCCGAGUCACUUGUUUCUCUUCUUGAGGAAGCUGAAAAAGUAGUUCCUGUAGAAUUGCGUGAGCAAACACCUGUCAGGGUUGGGGCCACCGCAGGUCUCAGAGCAUUAGGAGCUGAAAGGUCUGAAGAAAUUUUGCAAGCGGUUAGGGAUCUCCUUCGUGACAAGAGUUCCUUCAAAUCCCAACCAGAUUGGGUCUCUGUUCUAGACGGAUCUCAGGAAGGUGCAUUCGCGUGGGUUACCAUCAACUAUCUGUUGGAGAAAUUGGGAAAGCCUUACUCACACACUGUUGGAGUGGUUGACUUAGGUGGUGGUUCUGUCCAAAUGGCUUAUGCUAUCUCAGAAAAGGAUGCAGCAAAGGCUCCUCAAGUUUCAGAUGGCAAAGAUUCAUAUGUGAAGAAGCUGGUACUUAAGGGAACAACAUAUUAUCUUUAUGUUCACAGUUAUUUGCAUUACGGUUUGCUGGCGGCUAGAGCAGAGAUCUUAAAAGCUGGUGAAAACAGUGAUUACAGCAACUGCAUGUUGGAUGGAUAUCAUGGGAAAUACCAAUAUGGGGAUGAUACAUUUGAGGCCUCAGGUUCAUCAUCUGGUGCUACUUAUUCCAAGUGCAGGGCUGUUGCAGUCAGAGCUCUUAAAGUUGAUGAACCGGCAUGCACUCACAUGAAAUGCACAUUUGGUGGCGUGUGGAAUGGUGGUGGUGGAGAUGGACAGAAAAAUCUAUUUGUAGCAUCAUUUUUCUAUGAUAGGGCUGCCCAGGCUGGUUUUGUAAACCCUAAGGCAGCAGUUGCUAAGGUUAAACCAUCAGACUUUGAAGAAGCUGCACGACGUGUUUGUAAAUUGAAUGUGAAGGAGGCACAUGCCACCUACCCUGAUGUUUCGGAGGAAGACAUUCCAUUCCUUUGCAUGGAUCUUGUUUACCAGCACACAUUACUUGUGGAUGGAUUUGGUGUGGACCCCUACCAAGAUAUUACGUUAGUAAAGAAGGUGCGUUAUGGCAAUUCGUUUGUGGAAGCAGCAUGGCCCCUUGGUAGUGCCAUUGAGGUUGCAUCUUCAUCAUAG
rnacentral:rRNA from 1 species